rnacentral:rRNA from 1 species
UACGGAGGGUGCAAGCGUUGCUCGGAAUUAUUGGGCGUAAAGGGUAGGUAGGUGGUCUCAUUUGUCUGGGGUGAAAGCCUUGAGCUUAACUCAAGAAGUGCCCCAGAAACGGUGAGACUGGAGUCCUGGAGAGGGUCGUGGAAUUCCCGGUGUAGCGGUGAAAUGCGCAGAUAUCGGGAGGAACACCUAUGGCGAAGGCAGCUCGCUGGGACGUUACUGACGCUGAGACGCGAAAGCGUGGGGAGCAAACAGG